rnacentral:rRNA from 1 species
AUUGAACGCUGGCGGCAUGCCUUACACAUGCAAAUCGAACGGUAACGGGCCUUCGGGUGCCGCCGAGUGGCGAACGGGUGAGUAAUACAUCGGAACGUGCCCGAUCGUGGGGGAUAACGAGGCGAAAGCUUUGCUAAUACCGCAUACGAUCUACGGAUGAAAGCAGGGGACCGCAAGGCCUUGCGCGGACGGAGCGGCCGAUGGCAGAUUAGGUAGUUGGUGGGAUAAAAGCUUACCAAGCCGACGAUCUGUAGCUGGUCUGAGAGGAUGAUCAGCCACACUGGGACUGAGACACGGCCCAGACUCCUACGGGAGGCAGCAGUGGGGAAUUUUGGACAAUGGGCGCAAGCCUGAUCCAGCCAUGCCGCGUGCAGGAUGAAGGCCUACGGGUUGUAAACUGAUUUUGUACGGAACGAAAAGCCUUCUUUUAAUACAGGAGGGUCAUGACGGUACCGUAAGAAUAAGCACCGGCUAACUACGUG